GCCCAGGUGGCGAAAUUGAGACGCACCAGAUUUAGGUUCUGGCGCCGAAAGGUGUGGGGGUUCGAGUCCCUUCCUGGGCACCA
rnacentral:tRNA from 1 species